AAACAUAUAGAUACGAAACUGGCGAAAAAGUUUAGACAGGUCACGCUUCACUGAAUCCGUGCUAAUUCCGAUUUCAUAAUAGCGUUGAAUUGCAGAACUGGCAGUUUGUUGAUUGUUAUUUUAAAUAUGUCGCACUGCUGUAUUCCUGGUUGCUCCUAUGAGUAUAAAAGCAAAAGUCCAAAACGUUCUCUAUUUAAAGUUUUGAGAGCCGAUCUGGCCAAAAAUGUAGAGGAGAGGAAGCACCGUGAAGAACUAGCACGGUGCGUUUUGUCUUACCGAGAUCCUGAUCCCGCGAAAGGAGACAGGAUAAAAGAUAUGUUACACAGAGAAAUGUAUGUUAUUGUUAUCUACGACUAAUGAGUAUAUACACAACUUGUAUUUAGUCAGUUUUUAACAAUUUAUUUAUUAAUAUGUGAGUUUCAUUACCUUCAAAUCAUGGUUGUAUAACUGGUUAUACAGGGCAUCUAUCUGUGAGGCACAUUUUAACCCGGAGGACAUUAAUGUGCAGUCUACUCGGAAAUCUUUAAAAAUUGGUGCUGUACCUUUGUUGAACAUGCCGAAAAAAUCAUGUUCUAUUCCAAAGAUAAAUGGUCAUUUUGUUAUCGGUUCGGAAAUUUUAUGGCUGAAAUGCAUUCACAAAACAGUGUGGAACCCAUUAUCAGUGUUUGCAUUGCUGUGGAUGUGACAGUGAGUUGGAUAUCAUUUCAUGGCUGGCGUGUUGAUCCCAGUCAUCUUUCCUUGCCCGAUAUCAGGAUUUCUACAUUAAAUUAUUUUUUGGAAGAAGUGAUGAAGUUUAAACUUUGUGAGGGUAUUGAUGAAAAAUACUCAACUCGGAACACAAAGCUUCAUCACCUACAAAACUGGAAUGGAAACUGCCUUUCAGCAAGGACUCUUACACGUUCUCCACUCUGUCAAGUAGCAUUUUUAGGCGAUGAACAAUGUUCUCAAUGUACAAAAUACCAGUACAAAUCCAAAUGCAACAAGAAAUAUUGUGACCGCAAACGUGAGGUGUCAGAGGAGGAGUUGGUUGAUAUCGAUGACAGCUUGCACUCAGACUUCAUGGACCUACUUCACUCAGAGAGUGGAGAUAUGAAUGAGUGGCAGCAGAUGUUCUUUCGUGAACAAAUCCAGAAUUCCAGGAAGUCUGCAUAUUGUCGUCGAUAUCAUCCAGAUGUUGUUAGAUGGGCAAUAGAGUUAUAUUCUCGUUCGCCUUCGGCCUAUCAACAUUUGAUUACGACCGAUGUGCUAAAGCUUCCAUCGUCACGAACUCUUCAAAAGUUCAGAAAUAUCGGAACAAAUGAACCAGGACUAAAUCAAAUUGCUGUGGAAGCUAUGAAAAAUCUUAAAUUCCCAGUAGAGGCUUACCUAACCGUGGAUGAAAUGAAAGUCAAAGAAAGCUUGGUAUAUAAGGACGGUCGGUUGGUUGGGUUUGUUGAUUUUGGUGACCGUUACACGCAAACAAAGAUUGCAACACACAUUUGCAUGUUUUAUAUACGAUCACUAAAAAAAGAAAUUUCAAUGCCAUUAUCAUGGUGGCCCACAACUACCACCCCUGCUUAUCAGUUGGCUUCCACAUUCUGGGACCUUGUUGGCACUUGUGAAAUGAACAGUGUUCAUGUAAAUGCAAUUGUUGCUGAUGCGGCCUCAGUUAAUCGGAAGUUUUUCAACCAUAUAUAUGGAGGAACGUACUCGUUGAGCAGGGCUGUUUAUACUGCACCAAACCCAUACCGACCAAGCCAUCCAAUUUUUAUUUUAAGUGAUCCAAGCCAUUUACUUAAGACAACUCGGAAUGGUUUGUACUCAUCCAAGCCUGGUGGUACUAAGUUUUUUGCUAAAUCUGGACGGGAUAUUUUAUGGACACACAUUCAAAACUUGUACAACCUAGAAUCAAAGAGUGUUCUUCAUAAAACCCGGCUUUCAAAUGUUCAUGUGGAUUUAAAUUCAUACUCUAAGAUGAAUGUAUCUCUUGCUCGCCAAAACUCUCCGUUGGGAUGUAGGAAAGGCUCUGCAGCAAGAUAUACCAAAUUCUGAUGGAACUGCAGAGUUGAUCCUACUGAUGGACAAGUGGUUUAAAAUCAUUACUUGCUCUGUAAAUAACUCCAUCCAUUCUGCAAAUGAUGAACGUCUUGAUUGGCUGGAUAAGAAAUUCGUUCAAUAUCUUUUGGAUUGGCAAGUAAGUGUUCAAAGAAGUUGGGUAUGGUGUGACUGCGAUUUCGCAACGCAAAGCAAUAAAACAAAUUAAAGGUGGAAACACUACUCACGGCACAAAAAAUGUAUGGACAUCUGUCUGUAAUGAACCUUUGACCAAAAAGGUUAAACCAAACCAGCCACAGUGAGCCUGCUGGUGGUACAGGUGAUACCCCCUCCUUUGAGGGGCUAAUACCCAAACACUUGUUUGGGGGGGACUGGGAAGCCACUGAUUAAAAUUAAAACAAGAAAUACACUGUGCAAACGUGUGCUACUGUUUUUUAUUCAGUUUUUUUAACUCGCCUCUAAUUCCUUUUGACUGCUUGGUGUUCAAUGAACAAAUAUUUUGAAACAAUGAUUUCGCAAAAUUGUGACCCAAAACUUUAACAAAUAAAUGCAUAAUAUAAUUAACAACUUGUUUAAGAACAUCACAAUCUUGCUUCCAUUUUCCAUUAAAAACAUUAAAAAAAGUAUUAUAUUCUUGGUCAUUAUUAAAGAAUUCUAAAAUAUAAAACAAAUUGACUUGAUCUGGUACCUUGGCAGUUUCUAUUUUAUAAAGUGAAAACAGCUUUUGGGUGAAUAACUGGAAAUCUAAAC